rnacentral:rRNA from 1 species
CAUUUGUAGACGACUUAGAUGUACAACGGGGUAUUGUAAGCAGAAGAGUAGCCUUGUUGUUACGAUCUGCUGAGAUUAAGCCUCAGUUGUCUGAUUUGU